rnacentral:ncRNA from 2 species
UUCUAGUAAACGAAGCAAAAAAGGAGAUAAAAAUGGGAAAGGCUUGAGACACUUUUCAAUGAAAGUGUGUGAGAAAGUUCAACGAAAAGGUACAACAUCGUACAAUGAAGUCGCUGAUGAGCUGGUGUCAGAGUUCACCAAUUCAAAUAACCAUUUGGCUGCUGAUUCGGCUUAUGAUCAGAAGAACAUUAGGCGAAGAGUUUAUGAUGCUUUAAAUGUGCUAAUGGCAAUGAACAUAAUUUCAAAGGAAAAAAAA